GGGCCCGCACAAGCGGUGGAGCAUGUGGCUUAAUUCGAGGCAACGCGAAGAACCUUACCUGGUCUUGACAUGCCCGUCAUAGUUUUCCGAAAGGAAUUCGUCGGUUCGGCCGGACGGUGCACAGGUGCUGCAUGGCUGUCGUCAGCUCGUGUCGUGAGAUGUUCGGUUAAGUCCGGCAACGAGCGCAACCCUCGUUCCUAGUUGCCAGCGGGUAAUGCCGGGGACUCUAGGAAGACAAACCUCGUGUAGAGGUGGGAAGGUGGGGACGACGUCAAGUCAGUAUGGCCCUUACGACCAGGGCUGCACACGUGCUACAAUGCUCGGCACAAUGGGAUGCAAUACCGCGAGGUUGAGCCAAUCCACAAAACCGAGCCCAGUUCGGAUUGGAGUCUGCAACUCGACUCCAUGAAGCUGGAGUCGCUAGUAA
rnacentral:rRNA from 1 species